UCAGGGAAGACACAAGUACCAGAGUAACUGUCUGGUGACCUCUGUACGGUCCUAACCAGAAUAGGCCGGCUUAACUACCUGCCACCAGCCCUGUUUUAAUACGUAUGUGGCAAGCGUUGUCCGGAAUUAUUGGGCGUAAAGCGCGCGCAAGUGGUUCCUUAAGUCUGAUGUGAAAGCCCACGGCUCAACCGUGGAGGGUCAUUGGAAACUGGGGAACUUGAGUGCAGAAGAGGAAAGUGGAAUUCCCAGUGUAGCGGUGAAAUGCGUAGAGAUUUGGAGGAACACCCCUGGCAAAGCUAUUUUUUUGUCGGGGGGGGACGGUGUUUUUUCUUUAACCCUGGGGAGCAAACCAGAUUACAUACCCUGGGAGAUCCACCCCCUAAACGAUGAGUGCU
rnacentral:rRNA from 1 species